rnacentral:rRNA from 1 species
CUUCCUACUAGAGUUCGAUUCUGUUCUUAACUGAAGUGGGGUAGCUAUCUUCGGGGUGGUCAGUUGGUUGUUAUAUCUCCACUAAUGAGCAGAGAAGGGUUAAAACCUUUGAAGUAAGUUAUGUGGAUCAAGGUAUGGUGAUUAAUUGGAGUUCUAGUUCAUUUACUUUGAGAAAAUUAGAGUGUUUAAAAGCAGCCUCUUGGGGCACUGAAUACAUUAGCAUGGGAUAAUAAAAUAGGAUCUUCACAAUAUAUUUUAUUGGUUUAAAAUUGGAUAUGAAGAUAAUGAUUAAUAGGGGACAGUUGGGGGGUAUUCAUAUUGGGUGGUUAGCGGUGAAAUGCUCGGAUCCAUUCAAGAUGAACUAAAGCGAAAGCAUUUACCAAGGAUGUUUUCAUUAAUCAAGAACGAAAGUUAAGGGAUCGAAGACGAUUAGAUACCGUCGUAGUCUUAACUAUAAACUAUGCC